rnacentral:rRNA from 1 species
GAUGAACGCUGGCGGCGUGCCUAAUACAUGCAAGUCGAGCGAACGGACGAGAAGCUUUCUUCUCUGAUUUUAGCGUCGCACGGGUGAGUAACACGUGGAUAACCUACCUAUAAGACUGGGAUAACUUCGGGAAACCGGAGCUAAUACCGGAUAAUAUCUUGAACCGCAUGGUUCAAAAGUGACAGACGGUCUUCCUGUCACUUAUCGAUGGAUCCGCGCUGCAUUAGCUAGUUGGUAAGGUAACGGCUUACCAAGGCAACGAUGCAUAGCUGACCUGAGAGGAUGAUCGGCCACACUGGAACUGAGACACGGUCCAGACUCCUACGGGAGGCAGCAGUAGGGAAUCUUGCGCAAUGGGCGAAAGCCUGACGGAGCAACGCCGCGUGAGUGAUGAAGGUCUUCGGAUCGUAAAACUCUGUUAUUAGGGAAGAACAGAUGUGUAAGUAACUGUGCACAUCUUGACGGUACCUAAUCAGAAAGCCACGGCUAACUACGUG